UAAUGCCUGUAGUCCCGGCGGUGGUUCUCCUUGUAAUUUAGAGCGUUUUCCUCACCAAACCACCCAGAGAACAGGAACCGAAACUCCUAAGUAAGUCUGCGGCUAAGUUCAGGACCACACUCCCCGGCAAGUACUGCAGAAAAAGAUUCAGACUCGCCACAGCGACUGGUUCAGAAGUCCAGUCAGCAUCCUUUCAAAGGUUCACAUAGGUUCUUUCUCCAAGCCAAGAAGCGGAGUGGUGACGUAAGCCUAGCCACCUUUGCCUUUGCUUGGACAUAGCCUACCUCGUGGUGAAGCCGACUCAAAGAUCUAAGAGAUGGAGAAAUAGUCUUAAUGCUGCCAUUUGAAUUCCUGGAUCCCAACUUCCAAGAUUUCACUAUAGCCUACAACAGAGGUAUACUCACAGGGCAAGGACACUAGGGAGGAGAAUGGACAAGGCUCAUACUCAGAGAGGGGCAAGACAGAUAAGCUGUUUGGAGAAAAAUGAACAAAUUGAAAUGGAUUAAGAAUAAAAGAAUUGAAUGAGAAAUAUGAAAUUAAGGCAGACAAGAAAAACCUCACACGUAUACAUAACUGGUGGUCCUGAAGGAGAUAACAAUUAUAAACUGAAAACCAGAAAUAAUAUUCAGAGAUGGCUGUAGGAAUCCUGGACAGAUGGUGGGUAUGCACAGACCCCUUGUCUCUGAUCCCUUCUCCUUCCUGGAGCUUCCCUGAGCUCCCUUGAGCUAAAUCAGCAACAAAAGCAGGUAUGCAUUCAAGGCUGGAGAGUACACAAAAGCCAUGGGUGCUCCAAAAUCUGCAAAUGAGAGUGUACAGGCUUCUUCCUCUCUGAGAUGCAAGAGAGCUUGGGUACCUGAUAAGGAGAAAGCCUGCCCCUUCCCAAGGACUGGGAAGACCCAAGGUCAUGUGGUACUUGUGGGUAUUCAGCUGGCAGAAAGCCAAGUCUCUCUUCUGAGAGAGCCUACAGCUUUGAGGGUAGUCCUUCAAGAGCCUGUCCAGGCUGCUGACUAAUUGCCCUCAGAAGAAGACUUAUAGGAAGGUCAAAUGCUAUCAGGCCUUGAUGUUGGGAAAGGCCUUGAGCAGUUUCAAGGCCAAUCAGCCUGGACUCCAAGAGGCUACAUCAUGGUGCCUCAGGAGACAUGUAAACAGUGUGUUCUUUGAUUCACAGUGACUCAUAAGAGCAAAGUCUGCUGUGCCAGAAACUUCCCGGCCUCUGGCCAAUUGCCAGCGUACUUACCACUAACUCCAGCAACAUGAGCUGUCGAGGAAAGAAAGAAGUGCAGAACCUGGCACAGGUGAAAUAAGAAAAUGGCUCAUUAAAGACAAUCCAAGAAUUUAGAGAAGCAGUAAAACUGACAAAGAGCUACACUGACCAAGAAAGAACACCCAAAUUAAUAAAAUCGGGAAUGAAGGAAGGGAUAUCACUACCAACCUUGAAAAAAAUUACGAUGCUAUGAGCAAUAAAAAUCUAUAUAACAAUACAUCAGAUAAAUUUGGUGAAAUGGAAAAAUUCCUAGAAAGUCACAGGUUUAAAGAAGAAAUAGAAAAUAUAAAUAGGCCUACAAAAAAGAAAGAUUGAAUUAGUAGUUUAAAAACCUCCCACAAAGAAAAAUCCAGAUCCAGGUGGUUUCAUUGGUGAAUUCUACCAAAAUUAUUUUAAAAAUAAUUUAAACCAACUCUUUACAAACUCCUUCAGAAAAAAAGCCAAUUCCCAGCUCAUUCUGAGUCCAGUAUUAUCUUGAUACCAAAACCAGACAGUAGGAAAACUACAAAUCAACAUCCCUUAUGAACAUAGAUACAAAAAUCCUUAUCAAAAUAGUAG